GGGGCAACCCAAGGUGCAUGCCGAGGGGCGGUUGGCCUCGUAAAAAGCCGCAAAAAAUAGUCGCAAACGACGAAAACUACGCUUUAGCAGCUUAAUAACCUGCUUAGAGCCCUCUCUCCCUAGCCUCCGCUCUUAGGACGGGGAUCAAGAGAGGUCAAACCCAAAAGAGAUCGCGUGGAAGCCCUGCCUGGGGUUGAAGCGUUAAAACUUAAUCAGGCUAGUUUGUUAGUGGCGUGUCCGUCCGCAGCUGGCAAGCGAAUGUAAAGACUGACUAAGCAUGUAGUACCGAGGAUGUAGGAAUUUCGGACGCGGGUUCAACUCCCGCCAGCUCCACCA
rnacentral:tmRNA from 1 species